UACGUAGGCAGCAAGCGUUGUUCGGAAUUACUGGGCGUAAAGAGUGUGUAGGUGGUGUCGUAAGUUUGGUGUGAAAUCUCCCGGCUUAACUGGGAGGGUGCGCCGAAGACUGCGAUGCUGGAGUAUGGGAGAGGAAAGCGGAAUUCCUGGUGCAGCGGUGAAAUGCGUAGAUAUCAGGAGGAACACCUGCGGUGUAGACGGCUUUCUGGACCAUUACUGACACUGAGACACGAAGGCGUGGGUAGCAAACAGG
rnacentral:rRNA from 1 species